rnacentral:rRNA from 1 species
CCUACGGGAGGCAGCAGUGGGGAAUAUUGCACAAUGGGCGAAAGCCUGAUGCAGCGACGCCGCGUGAGUGAAGAAGGAUUUCGGUAUGUAAAGCUCUAUCAGUCGGGAAGAAAAUGACGGUACCUGAUUAAGAAGCAACGGGUAACUACGUGCAAGCAGCCGCGGGAAUACGCAGGGGGCAAGCGUUAUCCGGAUUUACUGGGUGUAAAGGGAGCGUAGACGGCAGCACAAGUCUGGAGUGAAAUGCCUGGGCUUAACCCCGGAACAGCUUUGGAAACUGUGCAGCUAGAGUGCAGGAGAGGUAGGUGGAAUGCCUAGUGUAGCGGUGAAAUGCGUAGAUAUUAGGAGGAACACCAGUGGCGAAGGCGGCUUACUGGACUGUAACUGACGUUGAGGCUCGAAAGCGUGGGGAGCGAACAGGAUUAGAUACCCCAGUAGUC